rnacentral:miRNA from 1 species
UCAUGUAUUCUAAUUUUUCUUUAUA